rnacentral:rRNA from 1 species
GUGUCAGCCGCCGCGGUAAUACGGAGGGUGCAAGCGUUAUCCGGAUUCACUGGGUUUAAAGGGAGCGCAGGCGGGCUGGUAAGUCAGUGGUGAAAGCCUUGAGCUUAACUCGAGAACUGCCAUUGAUACUAUCAGUCUUGAAUAUUGUUGAGGUUUGCGGAAUGGGUCAUGUAGCGGUGAAAUGCAUAGAUAUGACCCGGAACACCUAUUGCGAAGGCAGCAGGCUAAACAAAGAUUGACGCUGAGGCUCGAAAGCGUGGGGAUCAAACAGGAUUAGAUACCCCGGUAGUCC